rnacentral:rRNA from 1 species
CCUACGGGUGGCAGCAGUGAGGAAUAUUGGUCAAUGGCCGCAACGCUGAACCAGCCAAGUCGCGUGAAGGAAGACGGAUCUAUGGUUUGUAAACUUCUUUUAUAGGGGAAUAAAGGUAUCCACGUGUGGCUAUUUGCAUGUACCCUAUGAAUAAGCAUCGGCUAAUUCCGUGCCAGCAGCCGCGGUAAUACGGAGGAUGCGAGCGUUAUCCGGAUUUAUUGGGUUUAAAGGGUGCGUAGGCUGUUGUUUAAGUCAGCGGUGAAAGUUUGUGGCUCAACCGUAAAAUUGCCGUUGAAACUGGAGGGCGUGAGUGUGUUUGAGGUAGGCGGAAUGCGUGGUGUAGCGGUGAAAUGCAUAGAUAUCACGCAGAACUCCGAUUGCGAAGGCAGCUGACGAAACCAUAACUGACACUGAGGCACGAAAGCGUGGGGAUCAAACAGGAUUAGAUACCCUAGUAGUC